rnacentral:rRNA from 1 species
UACGGAGGAUCCAAGCGUUAUCCGGAAUCAUUGGGUUUAAAGGGUCCGUAGGCGGUUUAAUAAGUCAGUGGUGAAAGCCCAUCGCUCAACGGUGGAACGGCCAUUGAUACUGUUAAACUUGAAUUACUAGGAAGUAACUAGAAUAUGUAGUGUAGCGGUGAAAUGCUUAGAGAUUACAUGGAAUACCAAUUGCGAAGGCAGGUUACUACUAAUGGAUUGACGCUGAUGGACGAAAGCGUGGGUAGCGAACAGG